rnacentral:misc_RNA from 1 species
UCUCCGUUGGUGAACCAGCGGAGGGAUCAUUACUGGAAUCGCAAGAUCCCACAACCCUGUGAACCUACCGAAACGUGGCCUCGGCGGGUGCCCGGCCUCCGCGCCGGGCGCCGCGCCCGCCGGCGGCCCCCUACUCUGUCUCUGCAGCGUGGCAUCUCAGAGUCCCCGAAAACAAGUCAAAACUUUCAACAACGGAUCUCUUGGCUCUA